rnacentral:lncRNA from 1 species
GUUUACAGCGCUUAGGCCAUGUGAAGCCAUCCCAAAGAGGCCAGCUGCACCUGGGGCGGGGCCAAGCAGGGAGAAGGCCGGGUCCAGAGGGCCCGGGAGUCUUCACACGGACGAUGCUCAGGGAAACCGCGAGGCCCAACUUCUGCUUCAGGGACUGCAGCAUCCCAGGGAAGAGGAGCCUGGUAGUGACAGCUGGAGGCAGGGAGGCCGUGACAAACUGUCCCAGUGACCCGGCAGGAGGCCAUGAGCCAGCAGAGAGAGAGAGCUGCAGUGGAGGUAGAGAAGGAAUCGGCUUUCUCCUGGGUCUGUGAACAGCAUCGUAGCCGACUUCGCCUCCUCUAGGACCCGCCAGGCUGCCCGCCAGAGUGUUGCCAUGGACACCCAGGUUGAAGGUCACAUAACCUGAGCAUGCCCAGAUGAACCAAGCAUGCACCCACGGGCAGAACUAAGUGCUCGGACCUAGGAGCAGGGACUGAAUUAAGAAGCAGAUGCCACACAGCAAGAUCCAGGAUCCAAUCAGAUUGAGCCCUGGCAUCACCCCAUCGCAUGAUCCAGUCAGAUCACGCCUCCAGGCAUCACAUUAUUGUAAGAUCCAAUCAGAUCACACCUCAUUACCCUAUGCUUAUAAAAUCCAACCCAAACCCCAGCUUGUGGAGACAGAUUUGAGUGUUUCCUCCUGUCUUCUUUUCAGUCGACUCACAAUAAGCCUUUCUCACUGCAAAAAGCCAGUGCUUUCGUGUUUGGCUUUCUGUUGUAUGGGUGCAAAUGGACACAGUUUGGUUUGGUGACACCACUGCUCUUGCAUUUGCCCCCAUCCUGAAUUUUCUUUGAGCUCCUUUGGAAGAAGUUCAUGCCUUCGCCUCCCCUCAUUCAGUCUGUUACAACAGUCUCCCAACUAAUCUUGUUUCUCCUCAUUUCACCUUCCAGGUAGUUGCCUGAGAGCUCUCUAGCAUGCAGGUCUGAGCAUGUGGCUCCCAACUUCAAAAUCUUCAGUUUGGCAUUCAAGACUGUCUUUGCUCUUCAUCCCUGUGUGCAGGGGUUCUUUUCACCCUUCUAUGUGAAGCCCGUGCAGCCCCCUCCUGGCAGGUGAAGGUACUCGAUUCCUUGAGCAGGCAGGUGGAGGGGCUCGAUCCCUUGACUUCCUCGCGGCACCAUGAACAGCCGCCAUUGUAAACUGCUUCCUCUGUGAUAUGGUUUGGAUAUUUGUCCCCACCAAACCUCAUGUUGAAAUGUGAUCCCCAGCAUUGGAGGUGAGGCCUGGUGGGAGGUAUUAGGAUCAUCAGGGCAGACCCCUCAUGAAUGGCUUGGUGCCAUCCUCUUGGUGAUGAAUGAUUUGUCACUCUGUUAGUUCACACGAGAGCUGACUGUUGAAAAGAGUGUUGCACCCCUCCUCUCUCUCUUUGUCUCCCUUUCUCACCUCUGCUCCCCCUUUGCCUUCCACCAUGAUUAAAAGCUUCCUGAGGGCUUCCCCAGAAGUAGAUGCUAUUGCCACUCCUCUCGUACAGCCCGCAGAACCAUGAGCCA